rnacentral:pre_miRNA from 13 species
ACCUCUUCUGAGACGGGGAACCGAGCUGGUCUUUCCUUGUUGAUAAGUCCACAAACAGCGUCUAUCAACAGGCCAAGAUCAGCUCUGGUCUCGUUUGGAAAC